CCAAAAGUGUCUUUUUGGUUUUUGAUUUUUUUUUUUUUUUUUACCUUUUUUCCUACACUUGGUAAUCAGGAAGUAAAAGGUGUCUUUUUGACUGUCGACUUUUUGACUGCCAUAGCCUUAGUCUAAAUGAACAGACAACACUGAGAAAUGGAAAGGGUCAAAGGGGAGGCCUAUUUUGGCCAGAAAGAGUGAAGCAGAGUCAAAGGGGAAGAAAAGACAGGGAAGAGGCCCAGGAUGGAUGGUGAGAAGUGAAUUUCACCAACCUCGAAACCUCGCAUAGGGAGCCCCAAUCUGCUUGUCUUCUAAUCUAAGAGUAAAAAGGAGGAGAUGUCAAGAAGGAAAUAAAGGAGGAAGAAAAAGAAUCACCUGUUGAGCAGUUACUGGAUGGCAGACACUGCAUGGGAUGCUUUCACAUGUUGUUUUAUUGAGAUAUGCCAAUGCAAAAAGAAAGAAUUCUAUGCAUGGGGAAAAGACUAAAAGGAAAUACAUCAAAAUCCUAACAGUAAGGGUGUCAGAUUACAAGAGCCCCUUUUUCCAUUCUCCAUAAUUUUUAACCAUAAAUAUAAUAUGGUGUAUUAACAUUAUAAUACAAAUUAAACUAAAAUUUAAGGUGGAUUUAUGGGUACAAAUCCACCCACCCUAGAAUAUAGAAAGUAAACUACUAUAAAUUAAGCCAAACUAUACACUGAAUAUUUAAACAGAAAAGGAAAAUGUAGCCAUUUCAAAUGUAUAUAAUAUGUAACUAUGCAAUUAUAAACCCAGAAAGAGAACAUGAAAGAAACUACACAGGUGAUAUGGACCACAGAUUGAUUAAGAACAGAAAUAUGUGAAAUUGUUAGGAAUGUUAUAAAUCAUUUUCUCUCCAUAUUAUAAACUACCAAGAUGUUCUGUGUGUGUGUGGCCUAUAAAACUAUAAAAUAUACUAAAAGUCCUCUCUUCUAUAAAAACAUUUAGACUUUUACCUGUUACAUACUUUUCCACAUUCACUGCAUUAUUUUCUUUCUUUUAGGUGUGUACAACUCUCAUAUUUAAAUAAUCCCCCCCCUUUUUUUUUGGUCUUUUAGGGCAUUUCAAAGAUAAUAGGUAUUUUUUUUAAUAAAUGAAAUAUGUCAUUAUAGGCCGCUCGUAUUCUAAGCAGUCUGAAUCCCCAAUUAAUCUCUUCCAAAUAUGCAUAUUUAGUUUUCAUUCUUCUCAAAAAUGAAACCCUAACCUAAAUACUCCAAGUGAAAUUUCAGGGGAAAAAUACUGUUCAAAAACCUAGAUAAUGCAUUCCUUUGUUGAUGCUAAAUAUAGUCAUCUCAAGAUGACAUACAUUUUGACAAUGAUCAGCCUUACAUGUCAAAUUUUCAAAAAUAGCACAAAUUCCAUUUUAAGAUGAGCAGGAAAAAUUGCUAUUCAUUACAUUUCAAUCGAAAAUGGAUUUUAAAGUAUAAAUCUUCUAUUAAAACUGGAUUACAUUAUAACUAUAAUGAGGAAAACUGGAUUUAAAAUAAUUUUGUUGUGGUUUUAGCUUAGAAUUCUUUGAGGGAAUUGUUGCAGAUAAACUACAUAAUUGCAUGCAUUUUUCUUUAAAUUGUCCCUCAGAAGUAUUAGUCAAAAUAUAAAAUAUCUGCAAAAAUACGGUGUUAAUUGCUGGAAGGAAGAAGAAAUUUAAACAGCUACAUUGGUUAGUCAAAGUUUACUUAUACAAAUUAUACCUCCCCCCAAAAAAACCUUUCUCUCAUUUGAUUAAUUAUGCAGUUUUUCUUAACAAUACCCCAAACUCAAAAGAAUUCGAGACAGUUUUCUUACUGCAUCAAUUUAACCUGUAAAAGGAUAAUAUUAGAAGGGGAAAUUAUGUGAUCCACUCAAUAACAUGUGACUAAGAUGGUAUAAAUACUUAAGUUUAUUUAAUCACAUUACCUAAGACAUAGUUAUGUUGUGACUCGCAGGCCAAUGGGCCGCUGCUACAUGAAUUCAUUAAUAAAAUUUAACGAUGAAUGAUGUUCCUGUUGCUUUGGUCAGGGAACUGAUUUCUUUAUUAUGGCUUCUUUUCUCUACCUGUGUCUUUACCAAGGACAUUUUGUUAGGACUUAUCCUUAUGCUAUUUUUACCUUGUUAUCUCUCUGCCAACUUUGUUCACGUUGUGCUUUAAUAACUAUAAAAUGAGUAUCUCUAAGUCAUUGCAGUAACCAACUAUAACCUCUCAACUUCGUCAUUUUCUUUAUAAAUGCCAAUGCUAAUGCAUUUGUAGAACGUUUCACAGUUUACAAACAGCUGGAAUGGUUUGGCUUUUUCAAAAGCAUAUAAGCAAGGGGAAUUCUCAAGAGGGACCGAUCAGAAAGAAUUUCUUAACUGGCACUGCUGGCAGAGACGGAGACCGCGGCGGGGGCACGUGGUGGACGGCACCGAACUUCCCUAAGGACCCCAAGAGUUCAGCCGAGGGACCGGCACCCACUCGGCUCACAGAGGGCUCCCUCCCUACAGUACGGAACGCACCUGAAACUCAGCCGACAAGGCGCAGGGGAGCAGGGCAAAGACAUCGCAACUAGAAGCCCGAGGUCGGCUGAGGCUUUCAGACACUGGGGCAGCCCCUGUUCGGCACCCCGCCUAGCCCGCAGGACGCGGCUCGGAGGCCGGGUUCGCCCGGGCCGGGGCCAGUGCGGAGCCACAGCUGUAUGGCGCCCGGCGCACUCCGGUGCUGCAGCGGAGCAUCGCCAGAAGCCGCGGACCCCGAGCGCCUCUCUGCAGCCGCCGCUCCCGCCCCCGCCCCCGCCCCCGCCCCCGCCAGGGGACCCUACACCUCAGUCUCCACUCCCCCUAGCCCACGUUCCCCAACUCUUCUCACCCUCCAGGAGCCGGUGACCCGCGAAGGUCCUUCUUUUCGCGCGGAGGGACUGUGCGCGUCCUGCCUAGCUGUGGGUAAGGGUCUGGGAGCUCUGGCCGUUACACUUCUGCUCCAGCCGCUGGGAGUCCUCUGGCUGCCGCUGCCGCCGCCGCCGCCGCCGUCUCCAGCAGCAAGUUUCCAUAAAAGUCCUGGUGCGCAGCCUGUUCCCGCAUUCCAGGCGGGCCCAGCGCCGGCUGCAGCUGUUCCAAAACACAAGGCCAGUUCCCCCAACCCCCACCUCCGCCGGAUCACCCGGAGGGGGGUGGAGAGUCGAGGAGAAAAGCAGGGGACGGGGAGCGUGGCUGCAACUUUCCGCCAGAAUUUGUCUGUCUCCCGGCCCUAGGUGCGCGGGCUGACCCCCUAACCUUGGGCUUGCCUCCACCUCCAGCCAGGCCUGGGGAAGGAAGGCUGCCUCCGCCACGGGAAAGGAAUGAGGCUGAAAUGGGCUUCAUUACCGGUCUGGAGCUGGCUCCCCCUACCCGCAACCCGUUUGCUGUGGGGCCCACUUCUCUCAGCUACUCUACCCGUCCUAGUUUCCAGUCAAGAAGCCAAGCCACUACAUUAUCUUCUACUACCCUAAGCAUUGACCUUUGGCCACGUUUUCCUUUAUUACAAAGAGCGUGGGGCAGCGAUCCGGAAACACUUCAUCUGUCUAUUGCUCCCCUUUUCUUAGCUCCAGUCUUUAACUCUGAAAGGAGAGUUAAAAGGAAGAAGAAAGAAGAGAAGGAGGAGGUCAAUUGAAGGCAGAGGAGGAGGAGAAGAAAAAAAGGAAUAUAUUUAUAUAAGUACAAAUAUAUUUAUAUUCCACCUUUUUGUUAAUUGAAGGCAAACCAUGUCUGGUCUUCCUAAAGCUUCAUAAAGGCAUCUUUGACUAUUAGGCACCCACAGACCUUUUUCAACUUGGACCGCCAGCCUGUCAAAUCCAUUAGACAAUCCCAUAUUAAAACCCGAAGUGCACACUCAGA